AUUGAACGCUGGCGGCAGGCCUAACACAUGCAAGUCGAACGAGUGGCGGACGGGUGAGUAAUGUCUGGGAAACUGCCUGAUGGAGGGGGAUAACUACUGGAAACGGUAGCUAAUACCGCAUACCAUCAGAUGUGCCCAGAUGGGAUUAGCUAGUUGGUGGGGUAACGGCUCACCAAGGCGACGAUGCCUAGCUGGUCUGAGAGGCUGACCAGCCACACUGGGACUGAGACACGGUCCAGACUCCUACGGGAGGCAGCAGUGGGGAAUAUUGCACAAUGGGCGAAAGCCUGAUGGAGCCAUGCCGCGUGUAUGAAGAAGGCUUUCGGGUUGUAAAGUACUUUCAGCGGGGAGGCGGUACCCAAAGAAGAAGCACCGGCUAACUCCGUGCCAGCCGCCGCGGUAAUAC
rnacentral:rRNA from 1 species